GGCAUAUCGACAGGAGCGAUGACCCCAUCUACCGCAACGGUCUCUUGGCGCUGGUGAGGCAAGCCGAGGCCACUGCAGCGGAAGUGGCGGGCUGUGUCAGCGAAAUCUGCACAGAGAAACCUCUGGAUGAAGAGACAUGCUCUGUAUUUUUUGACCAGUUGGGCGUGGCAAAAAAGCAUUUUCAAGUGUUAAGGGAGGGUCUUGAUGGCCUUCAGCAUCCAGAUCUUCUCAGCCCCUUGAGGGAGGAAGCGCGUCAUCCUGUGGUUCCGCCUUUGGUCCAGCCCCGCGCAGAGUGUAAGCAGCUACCUCAAGAUUCUGAGGAAGAGUCUGUGUCUUCAGACCAGGAAGAAGACAACAGUGAUUUACUGCUGCAGCUUGUGGAGAACAUAGUGAAAGAAGAUGACCUAGAAGACUUUCUGGUCCACAAAUCAUCUGGCUAUGUUGACAAGCCACAAUCAUUUAUUUUGGGUUCAAAACCAGCCCUGGAACUUCCAAAUAUUGAUCUGCUGCCUCUUCUUCAUGACGUUGUUACUAUGACCAAAGGCAGGGAUGUCACAGCUCUGAGUGUGGCAUGCACAGGCCUCCUGGAGCUCUCAAGCUGCUACGUACAGGCCACGAAAGAGGCAGUGACUAUCAUAGACGCAGCAGAAUCCGAGGAGGUGGAGAGCCUCCGAUCAGAGUUAGUGGCCCUGACGCCUCUCUUGGUCCAGACUGCUCAGGAGAUGGCGAUGAACUCGGGGAUGAGCACAGACAGCAUCUAUAAACACAGCACUCAGUUUUCUGACCUGAUCAGAAACACACGCAAGAUUCUGCUGCCAGCUGCAGGCCUCUGGUACCACGCCAUCCAGUCCAUGUUCGAAAGCAACAUGCCAACCACAGUGAAGAGCUCCACGCAGGAACUGACUGAAGUGAUGGGCUUGUGCUCAGACGUGGUGCAGCUCGUCACUCUGCUGGACUCGCCGGUCAGGCCAGCGGGCUGUGACAGCAUCGCCGCGUUGCAGAGCAAGCUGAAAAAAGCUCAGGCCAGCACGAAGAAGCUGGCGGACCUCGCCUCCGAGCCAGUUCACGCAGCGGAGCUUGAAGGCGCCUGCAUUCUGUGGGCUCUUUCCAUGCAAGUUCUCCUCAAUUCACUUGACAAGUUCAUAGACACGACAUCAUCAGCCAACACGGGACAUCUUACGAAGCGUCAUCUGACCCCAAAGAAAUGGCUAACGACCAUGUCUGAGAAUUCACUCCGACUCCAGGAGGCUGCAAGGUUGUCCACCUUGAACUGCAGGGAUAGCUACAAAGUGAAAAUGCUCCAGGAGCUCCAGGAAGAGGUCAGAGCCCUUACUGACCUUUACCUUCAUGCUUCUGAUGACACAGGAAGUGUUUCCCAUUCCGGUGUGCUUCUGCUGGCCAGAUCAGAGCUCCUGCAGAGGCAGCUCCAGGCCAAAAUGAGGACACUUUCUAGCCUCCUGGGAAAAGUGAACGCGGAGUAUGUGACUGUGAUCCAGAACUGCGUUAACUUGGCUUGUUCAGCCACCACCGCGGAGAACAUCCUGGCCGAGGAGGCUUCAUCGGACUUUGAGGACGCCACUGAGUUGCUCCUAGAGAACGUGAAAAGCGCCACUGACCGCGUGCAGGACUGCCUAAACUACAUCAGAGAC
ensembl:lncRNA